AGAACUCCAGUGCCAUUUUGAGUGAAUGCUUUCCUCAUACCAACUCCUGCUCGAGGCAAAAUCCACUGUAUAUGGACUCGGACUCUGAUGAGCCAUCUGGUGAACCGAAGAAACCACGUCUUUCACGCCCGCCUGAUGUGAGAGUUCCAGCAGCAUGGUCCUCACAACUGGCAAGAAAUGGUAAGUCACAUGUAUUGUAUGCCCCUUUUGCAGAUAUGUUUGCAGGUGCCAGUGCAGCAAAACAAACGGCACGUGAGCAAUUUCACCAUGGUAAGCUCUCAAAUAAUGGCCAGUAGUCACAUAAGCCUCUGUAUGUCUUUUGUAAAAUAAUUUCAUUCACUGACUUUUACAUUUCUUAUUAUGCGAUUCAGAAACGAUGGCAGCAUCCGCCAGCGGCGCUGGGCCGUACCACCAGCUGCAGGUCCCACAGAGAGAGGGUACCAGUAUAUCACCAUAUGGUUCCGUGCACACCCCAUUUCGUGCCCCACAAUAUGCACAAAACGAUGUGACCAUGCAAGGUGACAACGGGCAGCUUUUGAAAGGCAAGUCUAUUAGAAAAUGUUGUGCUAUGUAACCACAGAAGUAUUUUGCACGUUUUUAUCUCAUGACAAUUUGUUUGACAAUUUGUUUUUGCCCUCCAAAAGAUGACAAAAAUGCUUGCCGAAGUGCUGGUGGUUGUCAAUGAACUGUCAAGGGAUGUGCAGUUCAUCAAGGGUGAAUUGGCAGAGGCUAGAAUGCCCCCAUCUUGUGGCCCAGGGCCAGCCACAAGCCAAGAGAUGUUCCCCAUCCAGCUGCCGAUCACCAACGAAGAAGACUUCAAUGAGGCCGAAACGUUGUUGGGAACUGAGCCAGUCCGACAAAAGAUGGUAAUUUGUUUGAUAAACUGAGCUGCAUAAUGAGACAUUCUCCAUAUUAGGCGGGGCCUUACCGGGCUUUACUGGGCCUUACCGCGCACC